rnacentral:lncRNA from 1 species
GGAGGACCGCAGGCGAGAGGGAGAAGGAAGGGCGCCCGGGGAGCAGGCUGGCAGAGUGACCGGGAUUGAUGAGCGGCGCAGCUCUGGAGGGACGCGGGCGAGAGGGUCGCUCCUCGGGGAGAGGGCUGGCCUAUGAUAAGAGGAGAUGAAUGCCUGCUAAAGCGACCAGAAGGCUCUCAGUAAAAAGUAUUCACUAGGUAUCAAUAGAAUCUGCAAAACGAAGAGGUGCUUGAAAGAUGUGAAAGAGGAAACUUAAAGAGAAACCCAGAUGGUACAUCUCUCUUCCUGGCUAGAUAGAUGGAAUGUACAGCCAGAGGAUUGGAUGAGGUCAUCGACGGAGAGAAUGCAGAGAGAAUCCUGGGGCUCACCAACAUGAAGAAUUUGGGACAAGAAAGAAGAUCCAGCAGAGAAGACUGAAAGAAGGCAACUAAUGAAAUAGGAGAGAACCUGGAGAGCACAGAGUCUUAGAGGCCAAGAAAGUGGUUUAAUAUAAUCCGUAUCAAAGCAUUUGUGGUUUAUUUUUGUUAACUGACAAAAGGAUUCUAAAACAUACCUGAAAAGUAUAAUUCACACCUAGGAUAAUGGAUCAUUCUGUCACAUUGUUCCUUUUUCACAGCUGAUAUGAACAUGAUAUUUUCAUGACUUUGUAAAAUAAAAAUGGAAUCUUUCUAAUUUUUUUAAAAAAACUGCUUACUUAUGCAAGCCUUCUGUCUCUCACUGUAUAACCCCUCCACUUUUAUACGGGUCACACAUGUUUCUGUCACUUUCCUGGAGCCCUUGUAG